GAUGAACGCUGGCGGCGUGCCUAAUACAUGCAAGUCGAGCGAACAGAUAAGGAGCUUGCUCCUUUGACGUUAGCGGCGGACGGGUGAGUAACACGUGGGUAACCUACCUAUAAGACUGGGAUAACUUCGGGAAACCGGAGCUCAUACCGGAUAAUAUUUCGAACCGCAUGGUUCGAUAGUGGAUGAUGGUUUUGCUAUCACUUAUAGAUGGACCCGCGCCGUAUUAGCUAGUUGGUAAGGUAACGCCUUACCAAGGCGACGAUACGUAGCCGACCUGAGAGGGGGAUAGGCGACACUGGAACGGAGACGCGGUCAAGACUCCUGCGGGAGGCAGCAGUAGGGAAUCUUCCGCAAUGGGCGAAAGCCUGACGGAGCAACGGCGCGUGAGUGAUGAAGGUCUUCGGAUCGUAAAACUCUGUUAUUAGUGAAGAACAUACGUGUAAGUAACUGUGCACGUCGUGACGGUACCUAAUCAGAAAGCCACGGCUAACUACGUG
rnacentral:rRNA from 1 species